rnacentral:rRNA from 1 species
GACGAACGCUGGCGGCGUGCUUAACACAUGCAAGUCGAACGGAAAGGCCCUGCUUUUGUGGGGUGCUCGAGUGGCGAACGGGUGAGUAACACGUGAGUAACCUGCCCUUGACUUUGGGAUAACUUCAGGAAACUGGGGCUAAUACCGGAUAGGAGCUCCUGCUGCAUGGUGGGGGUUGGAAAGUUUCGGCGGUUGGGGAUGGACUCGCGGCUUAUCAGCUUGUUGGUGGGGUAGUGGCUUACCAAGGCUUUGACGGGUAGCCGGCCUGAGAGGGUGACCGGCCACAUUGGGACUGAGAUACGGCCCGGACUCCUACGGGAGGCAGCAGUGGGGAAUAUUGCACAAUGGGCGGAAGCCUGAUGCAGCAACGCCGCGUGCGGGAUGACGGCCUUCGGGUUGUAACCCGCUUUCGCCUGUGACGAAGCGUGAGUGACGGUAAUGGGUAAAGAAGCACCGGCUAACUACGUG